rnacentral:rRNA from 1 species
CAGCAGCCGCGGUAAUCCGUAGGUGGCAAGCGUUGUCCGGAAUUAUUGGGCGUAAAGGGCUCGCAGGCGGCUUCUUAAGUCUGAUGUGAAAGCCCCCGGCUCAACCGGGGAGGGUCAUUGGAAACUGGGAAACUUGAGUGCAGAAGAGGGGAGUGGAAUUCCACGUGUAGCGGUGAAAUGCGUAGAGAUGUGGAGGAACACCAGUGGCGAAGGCGACUCUCUGGUCUGUAACUGACGCUGAGGAGCGAAAGCGUGGGGAGCGAACAGGAUUAGAUACCCCGGUAGUCCCUGUCUCUUAUAC